AGCUCGUAGUUGAAUUUNUGGUGGAGUCGGUCUGUCCUUCACUUGGUGUUGGUUCGUGACUGCAUCUCUGCCCUCCUUGGUCGGAGCCAGUUUGGCAUUUAGUUGUCGGGCUGGGGACGAUCAUCGUUUACUGUGAAGAAAUUAGAGUGUUCAAAGCAGGCUUAGGCCUUGAAUACAUUAGCAUGGAAUAAUGAAAUAGGGUUUUGGCACUAUUUUGUUGGUUUGCGCGCCGAAACAAUGAUUAAUAGGGACAGUUUGGGGAUAUUCGUAUUCAAUUGUCAGAGGUGAAAUUCUUGGAUUUCUGGAAGACGAACGACUGCGAAAGCAUUUAUCAAGGAUGUUUUCAUUAAUCAAGAACGAAAGUUAGGGGAUCGAAGAUGAUUAGAUACCAUCGUAGUCUUAACCAUAAACCAUGCCGACUAGGGAUUUGCGGUGUCUUGAGACUCCGAAGCNCCUUAUG
rnacentral:rRNA from 1 species